rnacentral:rRNA from 1 species
UUACGGAAGGCAGCAGUGGGGAAUUUUGGACAACGGGCGCAAGCCUGAUCCAGCAACGCCGCGUGAGUGAAGAAGGCCUUCGGGUUGUAAAGCUCUUUUGUUAGGGAAGAAAUCUUUCAAACUAAUACUUUGAGAGGAUGACGGUACCUAAAGAAUAAGCACCGGCUAACUACGUGCCAGCAGCCGCGGUAAUACGUAGGGUGCAAGCGUUAAUCGGAAUUACUGGGCGUAAAGCGUGCGCAGGCGGUUUUGUAAGACGGGUGUGAAAUCCCCGGGCUUAACCUGGGAAUUGCACUUGUGACUGCAAGGCUAGAGUGUGUCAGAGGGGGGUAGAAUUCCACGUGUAGCAGUGAAAUGCGUAGAGAUGUGGAGGAAUACCGAUGGCGAAGGCAGCCCCCUGGGACAAUACUGACGCUCAUGCACGAAAGCGUGGGGAGCAAACAGGAUUAGAUACCCUGGUAGU